AAAAAACACACAAAUAUAUGAGACAAGUAUGGAAUAAGGUAAGAAUUUAAAGUACUGUCAAUGUCUGUUUUUGACAGGCAAAGACAGAUAGAGUUAAACAUAGCAAAAAGGUUCGUUAAUGCCAAGUUUGGAAUGAGGCGCAUUUCAUGUCUUUCGCGGCUAUCAUUGCUUCCAGAAAUGGAACAGAUAUGAAAAUUCGAGCCAUCUAUCCCAUUUCUGGAAGCAAUGAUAGCAGCAAGACUGUCUUUGCCUGUCAAAAGCAGAUAUUGACAGUACUUUAAAUUCUUACCUUAUACCAUACUUGUUUCACAUAUUUUUUUAGUUUUCUGUAUAUUUGUAUUAAUAUAUUUAGUAUCGCUCGAAACAUCGACGUUCUCCUUGUAUUUUUCAGGGGCCGGUUGUUCAAAGCUGGGUUAGCCUAACCCUGGGUUAGCCUAAUAUUCAAAGAAAGCUUGCCUAUAAGCCCUAGUUUGUCUUGCCCUAGCUUGUCUAUAAAUUUGGAAAUAUUUCUUCACAGAUCUUGUCUGGAUCGAUAGGAGUUAUCUUCUCUGAAGUUUUGAAAUAAACAGACGUGCAGAAGUACAUAAACUAAAACAGCAGGUUAAAUUUUAACCCAGAGUUAGCUCUAACUCACAUUUGAACAACCGACCCCAGGUAGUUGCAUCAUCCGCAGCUUUCUUAUUACUGGCACUACUUACACUGACACAAACCGUUCAAGAUUAUAUAUAGUACAGGUAGAUCAAUACGGAUAAUAAUACCAAUAUAAAAUCUGCUGUGUUGGUGUAAUGUACUCAGGUGAAUAAGAUGUUUCUCAGUUGGAAGAGCAUUGGGCUAGUAUUCCAAAGGUCGUAGGUUCGAAUCCCGCCGUGGCCAGGCAUAUUUUUCAAGCCUGCCCGGUGUGGAUAUACACUCAGAGUAACAUCACACAAACAUCUUAUUCACCUGAGUACAUUACACCAACACAGCAGAUUUCAUAAAUAUUAGAUUACACUGAUAUCGAAGGAACUAGACUCAGUUCCAAAAUAUCGCUUACUCGAACCGUCCUGACCGCGUAGCUCAGUUGGAAGAGCAUUGGGCCAGUAUUCCAAAGGUCGUAGGUUCGAAUCCCGCCGUGGCCAGGCAUAUUUUUCAAGCCUGCCCGGUGUGGAUAUACACUCAGAGUAACAUCACACAAAAAAAAAAUAAAAAAAAAAUACCAAUAUAUCUAAAACUUUGCAUCAGUUUUGAAACAGCUGUAGAUUUAAAGCCCUGAGUAAAUCAGGAAAAGUUGUGGUGGAAUCAAAUGCGAUUUCGAUGUUUCAUUCUAUGUUAUCUGUUUACCCAUCCUUAGUAACAUUGUUGCGGAAAUCACGAGUUUGGGAAAUUUUUGCUUCUGAGAUCUUUUGUUUCCCAAGAUUAAAGUAGCUUUGUCGACAUUUCACUGCAAAAAUAUUAUUAAUUCAAAUAACUCCUCCAAAAAAAUAGUUUAAACAGCUGCAUCCAUGCAUAUUCCAGUUGUUUUUAAGCCCAAGCCAGCUGGUGGUUAGUUCAGUUAGGUUUAAGUGGUAAAGCUUGGCCUUAAUGAAAUAACGCAAAUUUCUUAAAAAAAAUAAAGUUAGAGAAUAUAUCCACACUCUUUUGUAUCUGGGUGUCUUAAAAAAAUUGGGUUAUUUUUGUUGUUUCCAGAGAACGUAAUGUGUGCGUGUAAAUGUAUUUUAAGGUGCAUCCAUAACAUGCACGAAGUCCAUAGAAGUUAAUUUAGUAUAUUACAAAUAAACUAGAAUUGGAAUUAUAUUUCAAUACCGAUGACAACAACACUUGCAGACUAUUAUAGUUCCACUAAUAGAUAUUAAAUCAAAUCUGUAAUAUGAAGACAACUUAAUUUCAUAUUAAAAACGAUAUUUGAAACAAGUUUAACGAAUUUUCAAACCUUGCAUCCUUAAUUAUUUUGUUAUCAUACAAGUACAGUACUAAUGCACAAUUUUCCCCAUGUAUAUUAUUAGGAUUAAGGAUUUAAUCAGUUAAUUGGCCCAGCUGAGAUUUCAUACAUGGCGAAAAUCCCCCAAAUAACUUUGAACAAUGCUGACAUUUUAAACAUCAGUGUAUAUAAAGCCGGUUACAAACGGCCCCCAAAUUUUCUCUGACAAGUUUUCAUAUGGUGAGUUGUGUUUGCUAAUUGCACGGCCUUAUGCACAGUACGCACCACAAUUUUUCUACGACUUUCCUCUGCAUGGUUUCCUGGCGGCCACGAUCGACCACCUGCGAUGAUCCGAGUGCUCAAAUUAGUUUGUCAAAUUUCUAUGUUGACCCAUACAGACGUAAAAUUUGUACUUUGUCAUCUUUUACUAUGACAAGUACACUUGUUCAAUUGAACAAGUACACUGGUCAUAGGAAAACUUGGCAAAGUUGCCUAUAUAGGCUAUACAGAAGAUGACAUAAAAACUUGCCAUAUAACUUAUCAUAUAGAACAUUUGCUCGUCUGCAGCUGGCUUAAGGACCGUUUUACCUAGAGGAGAGCUAUGUUGAUUUCUAAAUUUUGUAAGCCCCCUCUCCCCUUAUGUGAUAUCGGGUCAUUCCAGAAAACAUCCAUACCUCCCUCAAGGAGGAAAUUGGAAGUUAACUCUCCUACCCCGUUCGGAUGUCCUAAUAUACUUAGUAUUAUCACUCCCCCGUCCGGACGAUAUAAAUUUCGUCCAUGGGGAUUGUGGAUCUUAUCUGGAACGACCCAUUGGACAAACAAGGAUGAAUUGUUAUGACCCCCCCCCCACCCCCCGCUCUCAAACUUUACUGACCCUUUAAUUACACAGUUAAUUUCUUUCUGAAUCCUUACAUUAGAUUUUGACGUGCAUUGUAUUGCAUUACGUUCAGAAUACUUCAACACUUUGUA